rnacentral:tRNA from 1 species
GUUUCCGUAGUGUAGUGGUCAUCACGUUUGCCUCACACGCAAAAGGUCCCCAGUUCGAAACUGGGCGGAAGCA